UAUGAUAUAAGAAAUAGAAAAUCAAAUAUUCUACCAAUCUUUCUUCAUUAAAUUCAAUACUAAAUAGCCUUUAGCUUACAAAUCCUUAAUUACUAUUACAUUCUAAUAAUUAGUAAUAAGAAUGACAACAUGGAUGAAACUAUGCAUCUUACAUAGAACUUAGAGAGGGACAUUGAGGAAGAACAAGUCCCAAUUCAGCUAAAUUAACAUUAUUGCAUAAAGCUUUUGUUGUUUGAUAAGCUUCUUCAGUUUCCAAGACAACAUCUUGC
rnacentral:lncRNA from 1 species